rnacentral:misc_RNA from 1 species
AACCUUAUGGACCUGCGGGCGUAUACCUGCGGAAGGAUCAUUACCGAGUUUACAACUCCCAAACCCCUGUGAACAUACCACUUGUUGCCUCGGCGGAUCAGCCCGCUCCCGGUAAAACGGGACGGCCCGCCAGAGGACCCCUAAACUCUGUUUCUAUAUGUAACUUCUGAGUAAAACCAUAAAUAAAUCAAAACUUUCAGCAACGGAUCU